rnacentral:rRNA from 1 species
AACGCGAAGAACCUUACCUGGGUUUGACAUGCACAGGACGCCGGUAGAGAUAUCGGUUCCCUUGUGGCCUGUGUGCAGGUGGUGCAUGGCUGUCGUCAGCUCGUGUCGUGAGAUGUUGGGUUAAGUCCCGCAACGAGCGCAACCCUUAUCUUAUGUUGCCAGCGCGUAAUGGCGGGGACUCGUGAGAGACUGCCGGGGUCAACUCGGAGGAAGGUGGGGAUGACGUCAAGUCAUCAUGCCCCUUAUGUCCAGGGCUUCACACAUGCUACAAUGGCCGGUACAAAGGGCUGCGAUGCCGUGAGGUUAAGCGAAUCCUUUAAAGCCGGUCUCAGUUCGGAUCGGGGUCUGCAACUCGACCCCGUGAAGUCGGAGUCGCUAGUAAUCGCAGAUCAGCAACGCUGCGGUGAAUACGUUCCCGGGCCUUGUA